AUUGAACGCUGGCGGCAUGCUCUACACAUGCAAGUCGAACGGUAACAGGCCGCAAGGUGCUGACGAGUGGCGAACGGGUGAGUAAUGCAUCGGAACGUGCCCAGUCGUGGGGGAUAACGCAGCGAGAGCUGUGCUAAUACCGCAUACGAUCUGUGGAUGAAAGCGGGGGACCGUAAGGCCUCGCGCGAUUGGAGCGGCCGAUGUCAGAUUAGGUAGUUGGUGGGGUAAAGGCUCACCAAGCCGACGAUCUGUAGCUGGUCUGAGAGGACGACCAGCCACACUGGGACUGAGACACGGCCCAGACUCCUACGGGAGGCAGCAGUGGGGAAUUUUGGACAAUGGGCGCAAGCCUGUUCCAGCAAUGCCGCGUGCAGGAAGAAGGCCUUCGGGUUGUAAACUGCUUUUGUACGGAGCGAAAAGGCUCUCUCUAAUACAGGGGGCUCAUGACGGUACCGUAAGAAUAAGCACCGGCUAACUACGUGCCAGCCGCCGCAGUAAAAC
rnacentral:rRNA from 1 species